rnacentral:rRNA from 1 species
GCUUCGGCCUGGUGAAAGUGGCAGACGGGUGAGUAACGCGUGGGAACCUGCCCUGUGGUAGGGAAUAACCGUGGGAAACUGCGGCUAAUACCCUAUGAGUCCUUCGGGAGAAAGAUUUAUCGCCACAGGAGGGGCCCGCGUCGGAUUAGGUAGUUGGUGGGGUAACGGCCUACCAAGCCUUCGAUCCGUAGCUGGUCUGAGAGGAUGAUCAGCCACACUGGGACUGAGAUACGGCCCAGACUCCUACGGGAGGCAGCAGUGGGGAAUAUUGGACAAUGGGGGCAACCCUGAUCCAGCAAUGCCGCGUGGAUGAUGAAGGCCUUCGGG